GAGAAAACAUGGAACUGCACAAACUCGCACAGAAUUAACCUGUAUUUCCCCAAAGUGAUACUAAACGUCCCUAGAGGAGUUGCUAACUCUUCUUUGCACGUCCGCCUUUCCUUUGCUCCCAGAUUCGCUCCCAGCACAGACGAGCCGGAGGACGCCCAGCGCUGCCCCUCAGCGCUCCCGACGUGCGGGCGCUUCCCCCGCACCUCCCCGCGCAACCAUCGCGGCGCGGCCGCCAGGAACACGCGGCCGGCCGGGAAUCCCGGGAUGGAGCCGGGAGAGAGGAAAUGGAGACCCCGGUCCGCAGCGGGAGCCGCGCCGGCCUCAGGGCUCGGCGGAGGGAGGGGGGAGCGCGGCAGGGAAGGCGACCCUCCCCUCAGAGGGGCCUCCGGACACGCGGCCCUGCCCGAGGUGGCGGCGGCGCCCUGACCCUCCUUCCUCCGCCGCUCCAGCCAGGCCCCAGCCGGGGGGGAAGAGGAGCUCCCGGGGCUCCCCACGGACACGGACCGGGAAAGCCGCACGGGGGGCAGCGGAGGAGGGAAAGAAACCCGGGCGAAAGCUCACCGGGUCCGGCGGAGGGGGCUCCCGGCCCCCGCCUGAGCUCUGCCUGCGGAGUGACAGAAUCAGCCAGGUUGGAAAAGUCCUCGGAGAUCACCGAGUCCAGCCUGUGACCGGGCAUCACCACGUCAAUCGGAGCAGAGCACGAGUGCCGAGCCUUUAUCCUUAAACACCUCCAGGGAUGGUGACUCCACCACCACCCUGGGCAGUCCAUUCCGAUGUUUAAUCACCCUUGCUGUGAAGAAACUCCUCCUAAUGUCCAGCCUAAACCUCCCCUGGUGCAGUUUAAGACUAUGUUCUGUCAUCCUGUGGCUUUCAGUGAGACCUUGGAAAAUUACUUUGUGCCUCUAGCACUCUCUCCACUACCUCUCCCUGUUACAUGUUUGAAAGAUAUCCUGUAAUUAAAUCAGUAUUACACAUA